rnacentral:rRNA from 1 species
UGGGGAAUUUUGCACAAUGGGGAAACCCUGAUGCAGCGACGCCGCGUGAUUUAGAAGGCCUUCGGGUUGUAAAAAUCUUUUUUACGGGAUGAAAAUGACAGUACCGUAAGAAUAAGGUCCGGCUAAAUACGUGCCAGCAGCCGCGGUAAUACGUAUGGACCGAGCGUUGUCCGGAAUCAUUGGGCGUAAAGGGUACGUAGGCGGCCUAGUAAGUUAGAAGUGAAAUAAUAUAGCUCAAAUAUAUAAAGCUUUUAAAACUGCUAGGCUUGAGAGAUGGAAGGGAAAGUGGAAUUCCUAGUGUAGCGGUGAAAUGCGCAGAUAUUAGGAAGAAUACCGGUGGCGAAGGCGACUUUCUGGUCAUCAUCUGACGCUGAGGUACGAAAGCGUGGGUAGCAAACAGG